AAAAGGAUCACUCUCCUUUUUUAUUUGAUCUCAGGGCUUUUGGCAAAAGAAGGACAAGUUUUUUUGUGUGUGUGGGAAAAAAGGCGUUUUGGAAAGUGCAAACCACUCCAGAAAGAGCCGCCUCCUCUAACUUCAGAACAUGAGCGGAGACCCGGGAUUCUUGAGGGAAGCACCAAUGCCUUCUCAUACCUCAGACCAGAGCUGGAAUGAGGGACAGGAAGAAAAAGCAGAGCGGGUAAGGACUCUGAGAAGGAGAGAAAUGAUGAAUUUUACUGUUAGACCAGCUAGAAGAAUCUUGAAGAAGGAGAAGGAAAUCUUCCAGCUAGAGGAAUCUUGAAGAGGAAGAGGAAAGAAUAUCUUUCCUCUCCAAAGGAUACAUCAGCAGAAAAAAAAAAAAAAAAAGAAGAAGAAGCAGACAAAAAUCCCCACCAAAGUGGAGUUUACCUUCCAGUUGAGGGAUACAGAAAACAACAACAACAAAAAAAAAUGUAGCAAACAAGUGAAUUACAUAGUAUAUUAAAGAUGUUCAAUACAAUGGGAAAAAAAAUAAAGCAAGGUAAGAAGGACUGAAGUUGGG
rnacentral:lncRNA from 1 species